GCCAUUAAGCAGGGGCCAAUCCUAAAAAUAUUUUUCUAAAGGUAACUAUUUAUAUUGAUAUGUGGAUAUCAAUGUUCAAACUACUUCUGAACGAUGACAAAUUUUUUGGAAAUUCAUAACCUAAAAUUAGAAUUAGUAAAACAUCUCAAUCCACUAGCUCGUGAUUUGUAAUUAUUGACAUAAAAUAAAAUAAAAUUCGAUGGAACCUUUGCCCAAAAAGAAAUGGGAAUGUGCAACCUGCUCGAAAUCUUUCACGACCAAACCUCGCCUUACAAAACACCUCCUCUGCCAUGAGCCAGAUGCCAAAAUGAAAUGUGAGGUAGGUAUG